AACGAACGCUGGCGGCAGGCCUAACACAUGCAAGUCGAACGAGAAGCUAUCCUUCGGGGUAGCGGAAAGUGGCAGACGGGUGAGUAACGCGUGGGAACGUGCCCUUCUCUGCGGAAUAGCCACUGGAAACGGUGAGUAAUACCGCAUACGCCCUUCGGGGGAAAGAUUUAUCGGAGAAGGAUCGGCCCGCGUUAGAUUAGAUAGUUGGUGGGGUAACGGCCUACCAAGUCUACGAUCUAUAGCUGGUUUUUAGAGGAUGAUCAGCAACACUGGGACUGAGACACGGCCCAGACUCCUACGGGAGGCAGCAGUGGGGAAUCUUAGACAAUGGGCGCAAGCCUGAUCUAGCCAUGCCGCGUGUGUGAUGAAGGUCUUAGGAUCGUAAAGCACUUUCGCCAGGGAUGAUAAUGACAGUACCUGGUAAAGAAACCCCGGCUAACUCCGUG
rnacentral:rRNA from 1 species